rnacentral:rRNA from 1 species
UGAUCAAGCUACGAAGGGCACACGAUGAAUGCCUUGGUGCCAAUAGGCGAAGAAGGACGCGACAAGCUGCGAUAAGCCACGGAGAGCGGCACAUACGCUUUGACCCGUGGAUUUCCGAAUGGGGUAACCUGGCCGGGUGAAUGCCCGGCCGUUAUGGAGUGAAUACAUAGUUCCAUACACGCAAUACCUGGUGAAGUGAAACAUCUCAGUAACCAGAGGAAAAGAAAGUGAAAACGAUUCCGUCAGUAGCGGCGAGCGAAAGCGGAAGAGCCCAAACCAACAGCUUGCUGUUGGGGUUGUAGGAGCCCGAUGUGAUAGUGCAAAGGUUAGGUGAAGCGAAUGGAAAAUCGCUCCAUAGAGGGUGAAAGGCCCGUAACCGAAAACUGGAGCACGUCUAGGGAAUUCCUGAGUAACACGAUAUAAGUGAAGUCUCGUGUGAAUCCGCGCGGACCACCGCGUAAGGCUAAAUACUAAUUGGCGACCGAUAGUGAACAAGUACCGCGAGGGAAAGGUGAAAAGCACCGCUGUGAGCGGAGUGAAAUAGAACCUGCAAUCGUGUGCCUACAAGGUGUCAGAGCCCCGCAAGGGGUGAUGGCGUGCCUUUUGCUUAAUGAGUCUGCGAGUUAUUGUCAGUGGCAAGCCUAAGUCCUUCUGGGACGGAGGCGCAGCGAAAGCGAGUCUGAAAACGGCGCUUAGUCACUGGCAGUAGACCCGAAGCCGAGGUGAUCUACCCAUGGCCAGGUUGAAGCGUCAGUAACAUGACGUGAAGGACCGAACUGGUGCCUCUUGAGAAAGGCUCGGAUGAGCUGUGGGUAGGAGCGAAAGACUAAUCAAACCCGGUGAUAGCUGGUUCUCCCCGAAAUAGCUUGAGGGCUAGCCUCGUGUGCUGAUCGUUGGAGGUAGAGCACUGGAUGAACUAGAGCCCAUACCCGGGUAUCGAAUUCAAUCAAACUCCGAAUGCCAACGAGUGUAACACGGGAGUCAGUGCGUGAGGGAUAAGCUUCACGCGCGAGAGGCAAACAUGCCAGACCAGCAGCUAAGGUGCCUAAACGAUGCUUAGUGGAAAGGAUGUGGAGAUACUUAGACAAUGAGGAUGUUGGCUUAGAGGCAGCCAUCAUUUAAACAGUGCGUAAUAGCUGACUCAUCGAGUGUUUCCGCGCCGAAAAUGAUUGGCGAUAAGUGUCGUACCGAAGCUCUGGAUGGCCACUGGUUUCGACUGGUGGUCGUGGUAGGGGAGCGUUGUAGCGGCCUUGAAGCGGGAGCGAAAGCAACCGUGGAGCUUCUACAAGUGAGAAUGCAGACAUGAGUAGCGAAAAGACUGGUUGAAUUCCAGUCCGCCGUAAACCCAAGGUUUCCUGGGGAAGGUUCGUCCUCCCAGGGUUAGUCGGGACCUAAGUCGAGGCCGAAGGGCGUAGACGAUGGACAGCAGGUUUAAUAUUCCUGCACCGCCGACAUUUAAAUUUGGGGGACGUGUGUGCGGAGAAGGUCUGGGCGAUGAUUGUCCCAGUCCCGCAAGGGGACGUGGAGGCUUCGGCCAAAGCGGAUCCUUUAAAGCAUGCACCGAGAAAAACCCAAAGGAAUACUAAGGCGCCCGUACCGGAAACCGACACAGGUGGGUGGGCAUAAAUGUGCCCAGGCGCGUGAGUGAAACCUCGUUAAGGAACUCGGCAAUCUAGCCCCGUAACUUCGGAAGAAGGGGUGCCCACUUUUAGUGGGUCGCAGUGAAAUGGGUGUACCGACUGUUUAUCAAAAACACAGCACUCUGCUAAGUCGUAAGACAACGUAUAGGGUGUGACACGUGACCAAUGCGGAAAGAUUACGGUAAGUGGUUAGGCGCAAGCCGAAGCUACGAGCCCAAGUCCCCGUGAAUGUCGGCCGUAACUAUAACGGUCCUAAGGUAGCGAAAUUCCUUGUCGGGUAAGUUCCGACCUGCACGAAUCGUGUAACGAGUGCACCGCUGUCUCAACGAGGAGCUCAGCGAAGUUGUAAUGGCGGUGAAGAUGCCGCCUACCCGCAGCAGGACGGAAAGACCCUAUGCACCUUUACUGUACGCUGUUACUGUGUUUUCGAUUUUCAUGCUUAGCGUAAGUGGGAGACUUUGACUCAUGCCUUUCGGGGUAUGAUGAGUCGUCAAUGAAACACCACCCUUGGAAAUUGGAAACUCUAACCCCCCAUCAACUGGGGAGGGGACACUGGCAGCCGGUCAGUUUUACUGGGGCGGUAUCCUCCUAAAGAGUAACGGAGGAGUACGAAGUUUGGCUCAACCUGGUUGGCAAUCAGGUGACGAGUACAUGGAUAUAAGCCAGACUAACUGUGAGACCUACAAGUCGAGCAGAUGCGAAAGCAGGUCCAAGUGAUCCGGUGGUUGAAAGUGGAAUCGCCAUCGCUCAACGGACAAAAGGUACGCUAGGGAUAACAGGCUGAUCAAGUCCAAGAGCUCAUAUCGACGACUUGGUUUGGCACCUCGAUGUCGGCUCAUCACAUCCUGGGGCUGGAGAAGGUCCCAAGGGUCCGGCUGUUCGCCGGUUAAAGUGGUACGCGAGCUGGGUUCAGAACGUCGCGAGACAGUUCGGUCCUUAUCCGCUGUGGGCGCAGGAAAGUUGAGGGGUUUAAACCUUAGUACGAGAGGACCGGGUUUAACGAACCUCUGGUGUUCCAGUUGUCGUGUCAACGGCAGUGCUGGGCAGCUACGUUCGGAAGAGAUAAGCGCUGAAAGCAUCUAAGCGCCAAGCUCCUCCCAAGAUUGACUUUCCCUGAAGAGUCGUGGUAGACCACCACGUUGAUAGGCCAUAGGUAUAAGCGCAGUAAUGCGUUGAGCUUAGUGGUACUAAUAACUCGUCCGGCUUGAUCUU